ACGUCUUCAAGGAACCUUCUUAAAGUCCAGUUGGAUUGAUUUAAACAACUUUGGAGAAUGUCAAAUCCUUUUCCAGACAUAUAAAGCUCUUAAUGACCAAUCUCCAUCGUAUCUUAAAGACCUUAUAGUACCAUAUCAUCCUAGCAGAACUCUUCGCUCUCAGACUGCAGGCUUACUUGUUCCCAGAAUUUCUAAAAGUAGAAUGGGAGGCAGAACCUUCAGUUAUCAGGCGCCUCUCCUGUGGAACCAGCACCCAGUUUGAGUUCGGGAGGCGGACACCCUCUCUAUUUUUUAAGACCAGGCUUAAAACCUUCCUUUUUCACAAAGCUUAUAGUUAGGGCUGACUCGAGUGACCCUGAGGGGUCAGUUGGAGUCCACAUAUAUGGGGCACAACUGACUUCUUUUUUGACGUCCCUUAGUUAUGACCCUAGUUAUGCUGCUAUAUGCCUAGGCUGCUGGGGGACCUCUCCUGAUGCACUGAGCCCUUCUCUAAUUACCUAUGUAUUUACUAUAUACACUGCUCAAAAAAUUUAAAGGAACACUUUUUAAUCUAAGUAUUGCAUCAAGUCAGUCAAACAUGUGGGAUACUGCUCUGGUCAAGUAAGUAACAGAAGUGGUUUUUAGUCAGUUUCAGCUGCUUCGGUGUUCAUGAAAUUAACAACAGGUGCACUAGAGGUGUAACAAUGAGACAACCCCCAAAACAGGAAUGAGUUUACAGGUGAAGGCCACUGACAUUUUUUCCCUCCUAUUGUUUUGACUGUUUUUCACUAGUUUUGCAUUUGGCUAGGGUCAGUGUCGCUGCUGGCAACAUGAGGCGAUACCUGAACCCUACAGAGGUAGCACAGGCAGUCCAACUCCUCCAUGAUGGCACAUCAAUGCAUGCCAUUGCCAGAAGGUUUGCUGUGUCUCCCAGCAAAGUCUCAAGAGCAUGGAGGAGACUCCAGGAGACAGGCAGUUAGUCUAGGAGAGCUCGACAAGACUGUAGAAGGUCCUCAACGCAUCAGCAGGACAGGUAUCUGCUCCUUUGUGCAAGGAGGAACAGGAUGAGCACUGCAAUAGCUCUAGGAAAUGCCCCCCAGCAGACCACUGGUGUGAGUGUCUCUGACCAAACAAUCAGAAAGAGAUGCAAUGAGGGUGGUCUGAAGACCUGACGGGAGGCAUGUCCAUGGAGGAACGCACAGACCUCUACAGGCUAGACAACGACACUCUGACUGCCAUAAGGUAUCAGGAUGAAAUCAUUGGAACCAUUGUCACACCCUAUGCUGGUGCAGUGGACCUGGAUUCCUUCUGGUGCACGACAAUGCCCGGCAUUAUGUGGUAAGAGAAUUCAUGCAGUUCCUGGAGGAUGAAGGAAUUGGUACCAUUAACUGGCCCCCACGCUUGCCUGACCUGAAUCCAAUAGAACACCUUUGGAACAUUAUGUUUCAGUCCAUCUGACACCACCAGGUUGCUCCUCAGACUGUCCAGGAGCUCAGUGAUGCGCUGGUCCAGUUCUGGGAGGAGAUACCUCAGGACACCACCCAUCGUCUCAUUAAGAGCACGCCCCGACAUCAUCAGGCUGCAUACAAGCACGUGGAGGCCAUACAAAGUACUGAGUACCAUUUUGAGUUGCUGCCAAGGAAUUUCAACAAGAUGGACUAGCCUGCCACAUCAGUUCUUCACUUUGAGUUUUGGGGUGUCUUGAAUUUAGCCCUCCUGUGGGUUGAUAAUUUUCAUUACCAUUAAACAAUGUGGCAUCUUUUCAUUCCUAACACAUUAUCCAGUCCAUAUCAAUGUAAAUAUCCAGUUUGUUUUUUCCCCGCAUUGAAAUAUGAUAUGUUUUCAAAGUGUUCCUUUAAUUUUUUUGAGCAGUGUAUAUAUACCGCUAUUGCAUUACAUUCACUCUGUUUCCCCCUAUGUCCUUUCUCCGAAUGUCCCUGGUCCCGGAGCGGGAUGUUUCUGAUCUGUGGUUGCUGUCCCACCAACUGGCUUAGGCUUCAUCAUGUCCACUGUGGAAUGGUGCUGCUGUCUUUCCUCCAGCCCACUGCUUCCAGCUGCUCAUUUCCACCAGUCUACUCUGCAUCGCCCUUACUAUACUCGAUAUGCUCAUCUACAUACUGUUUGCAUCUUACUACCAGCUACUUAUGUAGUAUUUUUAAUGCCAAAGCCUUACACCAUAACAGUAAACUUAUGAAUCAGUUUCAGUUUUGGCUUGUACUUUGUAUCAUUUAUGUUACUCUGAUCAUGCAUGUAUCACAAUGUGUGUUACAUGUUUUCUUGUCCCCCACCCCCCCUCUUCUCCCAUCUCUCUCCCUUCCCCUAACCCACUCCCGUUACCUCUUCUGUCCCUCUCAACCUGCCAGCCAAUGGCAGAUGAAUCCCCCCAUAUAAGCUGGGCUCUGCUCAAGGCUUCUUCCCAUUAAAAUGGAGUUUCUUCUUGCCACUGUCGCCUUAGGGCUUGCUCUGGGGGUUCAGGCAUAUGGGUUCUGUAAAGCAUCUAAAGUGAUUUUAGGCUUUAUAAAUAAAACUGACUUCACUUGACCACCUGAAUGCAAACACCUUGUAAACAUGACUUGAUGUUGUGAUACAGUAUAUUAGUAAGGGUUUCUUCAACAUAUCAUUAAGCGAGUGUUGCACAGUAGAUCUGAAAACUGCGCGCUUCCAUGAAGCUGAAUCGUCACACAAACAAAAAAGGAGUCCUGUAUUUCUCUGCUACAUUAAGAUAAGCCUUUAGAAGCCUUGCAGAGGUAUAAUACAAUUUCAACAUUUGCCACUCCCUAUGAAAACAGCUAUGAACAGAAAUGAUGGUUCCUUACAGCAGUCACUAAUUGGACUAUUUACUUUUCACACAAAGUUUUUUUUCUACAGACACUAGGACUAUUAGUUUGUGCUGCCUCUGUAUUUUUAUAGAUAAGAUAAACAAGGCAGGUGUUUUGCUUCUACUCUUGUUUCCAGAGGUAGGGAUUAGCUACGUUCACUUUUGAUAUACUGGUUUCUGUUUGUUCAGUACAACCACCUUAUUCUGUCCUCUCCUACAUUUUUAGAACCAUUGUUAGGCUUUCAAGUAUCAAAAUCAACAGAAAAUAAAUUGCCUUCACUUUCUUACUCUGAUUCCUUGAAAUUCUUUGACUGUUACUGUUCUCCUGUUGGUUUUCAUCAAGGGGAUGCAACAGUUGUGCACAUGAAUAUUUACUUCAGUUUUUUGAAAACAAAAAGAACUGGAACUAAAUGUUUUUCUGACAGCCAUUUGAGUGAUUUCAUUCCUCUAGUGCUGUGACCACUGUUUUCUAAACUGAUCCAUUGGGAUUGUCACUAUAAAAAGUAUUGCAGAAAUUAAUUAUAAUUCAAACAGCCUGAACUAAUCAGUAUACAGCAUAAACUACAUAUUGUGUGUGCUUUCUUGUGUAUCGUCUGUGAAAAAUGUCAUGCUCUAUAAGCACGUGUAUGGAGAUUAACAUCAUAGACUGCUUCUUUGUGCAGUACCUGUGCAGACUCUGUGCUGCUCUGGGCUGUGAUGGAGAUGUAUGGCUUGGAGGCUGUUGAGCAGGUGGAGGUUCGGGGCGGCACUGGUGGAGGGGUUUUCUUGUAGGUGGUGAUGCAAGAUGAAACUACAAAGAACAAGAAAGAAAAUUAAGAAGGAGAAGAAAUAAAAAAAUAAAUCCGUAUUUUAAAAACAAGUUACAGACACUGCACACAGAAAUUGCAGUGACUAAUCCUACAUAGACAAGGUUUUCUUUUGUAAUUCUUUAUGUCUUGAUAGACAAGAUGAAGACAUUUGGUUAAUUUAGUGAGUUAAUUUUCCUUCAGGCAUGAGCAAUAUUAACUGCACUGAACAGUAGUGACAAUCACCAUCACCUUGAUUAACACUGACACCUUGAUGCUUGGGCAAAAUUGUUAACAUAUUACUGAUGCAAAUAAAGCAUACUGAAUUGGAAUGAACUGAACUGACAAUCAGUUAGUUUGACCCAUGUAUGCACAUUAAUUCAAAUUUGUCUCCAAAAGAUUACAUACCUACAAAACAGUGCUCCUAAUAAUAAUUGGAUGCAUCAUUAUCGCUGGUUGGAUUAUGUUAGGUCAGCAGGAAGUGGUUGGAGUGGAUAGAGGGUGUACAGAGACCAGGGUUUACAUUCAGACUCCCAACAAAAUCAGGGGUUAAGGUUAGGUAAAGCUGCUGAUUUUGACUAAAUGUCAAUGAAUGUGUAAAGAAGUUACUGUAGACUUUUUCUGUAUUAAACCAGACCAAGAUCUUAGUCUAUACCAAGAAUUGCAUAUCUAAACAAUACUCUAAAAAGAUGAACAAUGCUGUAAGUAGGUAUUGUCCUGCAAGAUCAGAUAUGUUGUCAGUGAACAUACUGAUAUGUUAAGUGUCAUUGUACCAAACGCUUUCAUUACCAACAUUUCAUCAUUAUGUUGGUAGAAAAGAUUGUAUAAAAAAUACCAUUUCUGUGAGACAGAGGUGGAAUCUCUGACUCCAGAAUGUGACCUUUGUUUGUUCUUAUAAACUAAACAAAGUUUCAAGGAUCACUGCUUUAGUUCAUGUCAGUGAGACUCGACAUGAGUUAGAAAGGAAGGAGAACAUUUCUUUUGACCUUUGUCACUUUUGCUCUUCAACAUUAUUUGAUUAAACAGGCAGGCAGAAAAUGUUUGUGCAUUGUAACUGUAUGUGAUGCACUCUCUCAUGUACAUCUUGUAAGGGUGGCCAGGUGAUGCCCUCAUUAGCACUGUCACCUCACAGCUAGAAGGUACUGGGUUUGAUUCCUGGCCUAGGAUCUUUCUGUGUGGAGUUUGUAUGUUCUUCCUGUGCCUGCUUCCUCCCACAGUCCAAAAACACGCUGAGGUUAACUGGUGAUUCUAAACUGUCCAUAAUGUGAAUGUGAGUGUUUGGUUGUCUGUCUAUAUGUAGCUCUGUUAUAAAACGGUGAGCUGUCCAGUUGUCCCCUGCCUUCACCCUAGGUCAGCUGGGAUAGACUCCAGCCCCCUCGCGACCCUACAGAGGAUUAAGUGGUGCAUAGAUGAUGGAUGGAUGGAUGGAUGGGUGGAUAGAUAGAUGGGUGUAAUAUUAUGGCCAUACAGCAAACAUCAAAGUGAGCUUCAUUAAAAGUCCAUCAGCACUAGAUCUUCAUUUGAGGCUUGACACAAGGUAAAUUUGAAACAUUGAUUGCAACAAUGCAUUUUAGCUUGUUGUGUAGCUCUGCUCAUGUGAUGCUCUGGGACAAAUCUGAGCAGUAUAAUUCCUGUGCUUACAAAAACCCCUGGCAGAGGUUUAGAUGCAUAAAAUUAAUGAACCAAGAACGCAUGCUAAAGAGAUUCAAAAUUCAUGUACAACAAAAUUUUAAUGCAGGAGGAGGCUGUGAAGGGAGGAGUUACAUUUCUGGAAGCAAGCAACAGAGUAGCAAUGAAGAUGUAGACUGAAUAAGCUCUGAAAUUUUAUAGGUCAUUGGCAUACUUGAUGAGGACAUGGAACAUGGUCGACAAUGUAACAAUCAAUAUCAGAAUCUCAAGUGAAUGUCAUACUGUACACAUCCAAACAAAAAACCAAGCUACACAGCACAAUUGCUAACAUGAACAGUUUUUUAAAUGAACAAUGAGGAAAAAUGACAAUACAAUCUCCAAUAUCCUUAUCAUUACUUCUAUUUUUCCUUGUGUAGUUAUGUGAAAAUUUGUUGGUUAGUUAGAUGUAUGGGAUGUUAUUAUACGGCCACAAAAUCAGUAAGGAAGCUUACUCAGAUGCUUGAAUCAUUCAGUCACUAACUUAUGACGACUGUCAUAUUGUGAUUAUUUACUUGGCCUGUUGCAGCUCACAACAUUAAAAUUUACCACAACAGACAAUAACUUAAGGGACUACAGGUGCAACAAUGACUUUUUGAACUGUGACCUGCUCAUCAAAAGCAACGAAGAGCACAAACUCAAUAGUUUACAGAAGAUUGCCAUACUGUGACAACAGACAGUGAUAAUCCCUCUGAACACCACCACUCUCCCCCUGUAUCUUUUUAAAUGGACAGGUUACUCUAAAUGGCACCACAACUUUCCUUAAAGACUCACUGAAAUGAAAUCAGUGAAAUAAUCCUCUGCAACUGGGGAAUUCCACUUGCUGAGAUACUCCUAAUGUGUUCUCCUGCAGAGGGUAACUUUAACCACCAACUGGCAUGAUAGUCUUGUAAAAUGCUCAGGUCAACAGAAUAAAGCAAAACAAAUGAAAAUAAUAGUUCUUGCAUGAAGCAAAGAAGAAAAGAACAAAAGAGACUCUUUCUGUAGGAGAAUCUGCUAUUAGAAACAUAAGGAAUAAGGCUUUAAUCACAGGCAUAAAACAAUAAUCCUACCACAAUUAUUUUGACAACAUUUGACAUCUGACAAUAUUUCUAAAAAGUAUCUCAAUAUGCCGAAUAAGUGCUUUGAGGAUAUGAGUGACCAGAUGUGUUUCAAUUUUUUCCAGUUAAAUAACAAUAAAACAGAAUGAAUUGUCUUUUAAAUCAAAUUUGUAGAGUGGAUAAAUGAAAAGCCUGUUUGGUUACCAUUGCUUUGAACCUUGUGUCUGUCCUCUGCAUGCCCACUGGUGGAGCUGUCACUAAGCACACACACUAUAUUCAUUCAUCCAUUUUUCUCCCAUGCAGCAGUGGAUCAUGUUAUUCAUAUUGUUUGACAUCUGUAGCCAUGUUUUUCAUGUGGCCACUGGAACCAGAAAAUCCAAAUACAGAUGUGAAAUGACAUUUGAUAUAAACCUUUCCAAAGUUAGAAAUACAGCUGAAAAGAACAUAUGUGAAAACUUCCUUCAAUCUCCUAAGCACUAAAACAGUUUUUGAAAGCACUCUACUAUAAUACAAGAUAUUUAGCCAUGAUAGCAGCACAACUCUGGAACAGUCAAUAUUGGUCAAUCCACCACUUUUGUCAAGACUGAAAUAUCUCACCAGCUAUUGAAUGGACUAUCAUCAUUGCCAUUAUUUUUUUGCUGGAAAGAUUCACUAUGAUAUUAAUUCCAAGAAAUUUAAAACUGUUUGCCUGUUCCACCUUCGCUCUGCUUAUGUCCACAGGGCAGACAGCGCAGAUUGUUUUAUUCCAGGUCAGAUCAGAUAUACAAUUCCUCCAGGGAGUUCUAGAACAAGACCCACUGGCAAAUCUUCACUGUGACAGCCUGGUACAACAUCCAUAGUACUGCAGAUGCUGCACUAAUUGAUCUGUCCAUCCCACAGUCCAUUUUUGUAAACAAGCUCCUGCCAUACUUUUAACCCUUUCACUUGGGCCAGUAACUCACCCCCAACCAACAGGGAUCAAUUCAGUGGUUUCUAGCAGAGAACCAUGAGCUAUGGCUUUCUUACUCUUAUCCCGGCUUCUUUUCACACUUGGCUGCAAAAUGUGCACACCACUGCGCACCAAAGGCUGAAUGACUGAACAGAACUAUGCCAUCUGAAAAAAGAAGAGACAUGAUUCUGGGAUUCCUAAACUUGACACCAUUCUCAACAUGGCUGUGCCUUGAGUUCCUAUUGAUGAAUUUCUCAAACAGGUUCUGCGUUCCUUCCCUGAGUCCCUGAGGCUAAUUUAAAGUCCUUUUCCUUAGCUUCCUCAAACUCCUCCUUUGCCAAAAUUUUUGCUUCAGCGACUGCCACAGCUACAAGCCUUCUGGCCCCAUGAUACCUGUCUGCUGCAGGUCAGAUUCCCGUGCUAGCCAAACCUAAAAACCUCCUUCAUCAGCUUGACAGCCACCUUCAGUGCUGGUGUCCACAUUGUUCCCAGUUCACCCUCACUAUACAUUUUAGUGAACCAGGUCUGUCCAGGAACCUUCCUCGACAUUUAAUCUAAUUCAUCACCAAGCAGUGAUCAAAUGACAGCUCCUUAGUAUUUCAGCUGUAGUGUCUAACCCUAACCCACAGCUUAAGGCUGUGGGCUGUGAUGGUGCUCUCUCCUCCUCCGGCCCUGCUCUCUCUCUCUCCUAGGUGUGUGUGGUGUGAAGCUGGCGGCAGGUGUGGCGUGUGACAAUCAGCUGAUGAGGUGAAGGUGGGAGCUGCCUGAUUGGGCUUCUGGUGUCUCCAUAAAAGCCGACUUCACUCGUCGUUCGAAGCUGGACCGUCGUCUAAUCUCCAUGAGCUGACUCCUGCCUGCUGUGUUGCCUGGGUUCCUUUGUCUGCUGGAUCUCCGUUCUGCCAAGGAUUCCGUUUUCCCCUGGAGGAUUUCCACCUCUCGCCAGCUUCACCCUGGGAACAACAGCCAUACCUGGGACGAAUACACCGUCUGGAAACGCCUACCUCCACUGGAUCCAUGGACGCAACUUGCCAACCUCACGUCAAACAUCUGGAGUGAGAGUGCUGGAUGAAGUCGGACCAAAGGACUGUUUCCCUGUUCGUCAGCUAAGUCUUCAAGCCCUAGUAUCACCAGACUAUUUGUUUAAUAUUGUUAAAGACGUCGAAUUAUACAAUUAGCGUUCCGUGUUUGACUUCAGUUGUAUUUUAUGCUUUGCAUAAAAUAAUCUUUAGUCUGGGGUUUUGUUCAGGAUUAUCUGUAGUCUAGGCUGGGUUUAGUUUGUGUAUUUUUGAGUUGUUAUCCUGCCUUGGUGUUACCAUACGUGGGUUAACCGUAGAGUUCUGUUUUCAUAUUCAUGUAGUUAUACCUCCGUACCUCUAGUGGGUUUCUUGCUCCGUUAUCUCUGUAGUCAGUUUGUUUUCUGUUUCCGGGGUUUUAGUUCCGGUUCCUGUACGAAGUCUUAUUAUUGUAAAUAAAGCAUUGUUAAAAUGUUUA